rnacentral:rRNA from 1 species
UACGGAGUGUGCAAGCGUUACUCGGAAUCACUGGGCAUAAAGGGCGUGUAGGCGGGCUUUCAAGUCGGUUGUGAAAUCCCUCAGCUCAACUGAGGAACUGCAUCCGAUACUGUUUGUCUUGAGGACGAGAGGGGAGAGUGGAACUUCUGGUGUAGCGGUGAAAUGCGCAGAUAUCAGGAAGAACACCCGUGGCGAAGGCGGCUCUCUGGGACGGUACUGACGCUGAGACGCGAAAGCGUGGGGAGCGAACAGG